UUCUCUUAGCAUAGUAGUUUUCGGAUUCGUUCAUAUUGUUACAUGUAGCUUAUUUCUUUUUGUUGCUGAGAAGUAUUCCAUUUAUGAGGAGACUACAGUUCAGCUGUUCUUCUACUGAUAGAUACCUGGGAUGUUUCCAGUUUUUGCCUUCUAUGAAGAAAACUGCUAUGAAGAUUCUUGUACAAGUCUUUUGUGGAUAUGUGUUUUUAUUUCUCUUGGGUAGAUACCUACAGAUGAAAUGGGUCAGUGGUUAAAUCUUUUUGUUUCUAAAGACUAGUGUGAGUUGAGUUUUCUGUUGCUUAUAUGCCAAUACACACUCCACAGAUGAAUUAUCAUAAUCCACACUAUCCCUAAAGUGGACUGGGUCUUCAGUGGGUGCCCCUAAUGCCAAUUCCCUUAUUAAGAACAGUAUUUACUAUGUGUUCUUGACACAUUAUCCUCUUAACAAAUGCAGAAGGUUUUUAUUUUUCUUUUCUCUUUUUUAACCAGGCUAGCCCCAGUAUGAACCACAGAACUCUGUCCUUAUAAACCUCCAGGGUUCUGAAUUUUCCUACCACUGAAGAGGCUGCUUUAAGGGUUUUUGCAGUGCCAGGUGUGGAUUGAGAUUCAGCCUUUGUAAGACUUACUCACUGAAAACAGGAAUUUGCUUGGUUCCAAGAACAAAGUGUGCUUUGUACACUUGCUGGUGCCAUUUGUGGCUGAGAAGAACUUUCUCGGAUUGCUUUGGAAUGAUGAAGAGUGUGUCUCUCAUCCAAGAACUGAAAUGAUACUUUCAGGUGAGUCCAGAGUCCAAAUCCUCAAAGGAGGGAUUUAGGAAAGCAUUCGAGAGGAUCAGGUUUAAACCAAACAAUCCCUUAAGAAGAAAUUCCAUUCAAGUUCUUUCUUUAAAACAGGAAAUUAAACAGAGUCAUUAUAAGGCAAACUCAAGAGAGUGGUAGCACCAUCCCUCCCAACUGUUAGUUGCAUGAAUUUCGUUUUGGGUCAUCUGUGAAUCGAAACUAUUUAAAUUUGACCCUGUUAACCACAGCUCUUUUAAAGUACAACCAUCAGAAUUCUAGGCAAAAUGCAUCCUUUUAGAAGCAUAUAAUACAUCUGAAGUACAACUCUUUGCAUAAUUAUCAAGAUUUAAGUCUCCUGCAGUGUUAUUUUAAGUAUUUUAUUAAGUUCAUGGGCCUAUUCCCAAAACUCUUGUAGCAGUGGACAGGGGCAGAUUAUAGAACAUGAAUUAUUUCAAGACCCUGGUUGACAUACUUUAUUAAAAUUACUUGAUGCAAGCCAGAAAGUGAAACUGGUAAGGUAGGCAUUGGUUGGCACACUUUCCAAAUGUUUUCAUUUUUAAGUUUUCAUUAAGUGAUUAUCAGCAGAAUAGCCAGUGCUGUGUAAAUGCAACAAGACUGAAAUCCCUCCCAGUAAAUAACUCUCUCAGUUCCUUUCAACAAAGCCUUCACCCCAUGACUGAAUUGCACAUUGUUCUAUAUGAACACAAGAAAAAAGACUUCAUACACAUCUUCUAAAAUUCUUAUCAGGGCAGAAUGUUGGUGCAAACUCCUCUUGAAACAUUAAAUGAUGAAUGCUUGAAAUUAAUCUGGUUUUAUUGGAAUGUUUUUUCUGUGAUGUGAAAAUGAGGGAUUUGGACAAAACUGUUCAGUUCAAUCAAGGUCUUCACUUGUUUGAUUCAGUGAAAUGUUCCCUAACUCUGUUGUCCCCAACCUUAUUGGCCCCAGGGACUGGUUUCAUGGAAGACAAUUUUCCCACAGACCAGGGGUGAGGGAUCAUUUUGGGAUGAUUCAAG